CCGGUGAGCAACCGCUCGCCGGGUCCUGACCUCGGUACCUGAUACGGCCGGGGCAG
rfam:Streptomyces sp. NBRC 110027 DNA, contig: TPA059805.